rnacentral:lncRNA from 1 species
AGAUCCAAAUGAGGUGAUUCUUGAUGCAUUAGAACGAUAACUCAAAUGGCUACAACUUUCGUGUUUUAGACAUGAGCUGUUUCAGCCUCUAACAUCAAGAAAAGAUUGGUUGAAGUUGGGCCAAAAACAGAGCAAGUGAUCCACACUCGGAUCCACUAUUCAUCCGAACCCUCGGUUGUUUCUGGGUUAGUGGAUCCGAGGUACUGUAGCAGCUCGGAUCACUGGUCAGAAAAGGCUGCUCUGUACGCGUAAAACUCAAUUUCACCUCCACCAACUCACAUUGGAUGCUAGACAUGUGAGAAACAUUCCCAGCUGUAAAAGGGAGAUGUAAUCCUCAUUUCUUGACCACCUUUCAUCAUUAAAUAGCCAAAUGCAUUGCAAAAAUAGGAAUGGGGAGUUCAUAGCAGAAAAUAGAGAGUGAGCUACGGGAGAGCUUGAAACUGCAGAAAUGUAACUCUUUCAUCUCCCUAGUGUUAGUUUAGCUUAGUAUAGAGUAGUGUAGCUUUUCCAUUCUUGUUUAUUAUCUAGAUUAGGAUGAAGAUGGAGGAUGAAGAAGACAAGGAAGAAAGCUCAUGUGACAAGGGUUGUAUUCCUUCUAAAUUCUUUAUCUUUUGUAUUUGAUUCCAAAUUUAGUUAAUAUACAAGUUCUGGAUUUUGUGUUCAAUAUGUGUUUCUAAAGUUUAAGCCUUGGGUUUGGUUGAACUUUCUAUAAUUGUUAGUGUUUAUUAUUUGGUUAUUUGACUGCUAUGAUUUGAGCAAGUUAUUUAGCACUUUGGCUCUUUAAAUCAUGAUUAAUCUGGUACCAUUGAUUGUGAUUAUCUAAGGUGUUGUUUCUGCAAUGAAAAUUGAGAUUUAACACUAGUUCAAGAAGUGCUAAACAUAGGGAGUACACUCACGAAAGUAGAGGUGCACUUAUGUGGUUUUUAGUGAUUCAUUUCAUGUAAUUUCAUUGAAGAAAUGAACUUGUAGCUAAUUUCAUAACUAUGAAAAUAGGUAUGGAUUAGUUAUGAGUAUAAUUGAUUCACUACGAAAGUAGGAUUCAAAUGCAUAAGGAAAUUACACCAUAAUUAGCCUAGAUGUAGUAUUCAAUGAUCCAAAUAUAGCACUUGCAUGAGUAGUUAGGGAUACCACAACCCAAGGAGCUUUCAUUUGUUAUUUUGUAUAAUUUGAGUAGGUAAAAUUUGUUAUAAUUCAUUGAUAGUCUAAAUAAUAGAGAAGCUUUAGUAGUACCGGUAAUUGCAAUCUUCCUUGUGGGAUCGACCCUUAAUAUCCUAUACUCGCUCACGAUUCGUAUACUUGCGAUAAAUCGCGUGUGGGGUGUUUAGGAGUUUAUAAAUGUAAAACUUGAUUAGGAUGAGCUUAAUUGUAUAUGUAUGGUUAUCAAGUGCAAAGCUCCUUCAAUAGAGGUAACCAAGAAUUUACUGAAUGUAUGUCUUUUGAAGAUGGUUUAAGGUGCUUAAAGGCAAAAUUUGAUGUAAUUAAGUUACAAGUUCAAAUGGACACCAUGAUGCAUGAAAUUGAGCAGAGGAGGAAUGUUAAUGUUUUUAAUUCUUAUCAUGUGAUUUGUGACUUGUGUAGAGGUUAUCAUGCUACUAAUACAUGUAUGCAAGCACAAAAUGUGGAUUAUUAUGAUGAAUUAGAGCAUUACAAUCCUUGUUUUGAUCAAUAUAGUGCUAAUUGGAGCAAUUCUCCUGCUUAUGGUUGGAAUAUUCAAUGUACUUAUAGUGAUAAUUCAUAUUUUUAUGAUCACCAACCUGAAAGUGUCCAAUAUGAAUCAAAACCAUCUUGGGAGUUGGCAAUAGAGAAGUUAGCUAAUGCACCUCUACCUUGGGAGUUAGAAAAUGAACCAUUAGCUAAUGAUUCUAAUGCAUCUUGGGAGCUAGCUGUAGAAAAUUUUUCUAAUCAAUUUGAUUUAGCCAUAGAAAAGCUAGCAAAUGCAACCUCCGACCGUUUUGAUAGGAUUGAGGAAAGGUUAGAUGAAUUAGCUUCUCACUUUGGUAAUAUACAUGAGCAAUUGAAUGUAUUGUGAAGUUAUUUCUUCUAAUAAUUUGCAAAAUGAUCCUAGCAUGAAUGGUGAGAAUGUUGUAUGUGAAAAUGGAUUGCAUUUUGAUGAAAAUGAUGAAUCUCAAUUGUGUUUCAAUGAGCAAAUGUCCAUUUCACAUGAUAAUAUCUUUGGAACUAACUUUGAGCCUCAAGAGGUGAGUUUUAAUGACUCAUUUUUCACCCCUCUUGAGGAGUGCAGUGAAAGUAUAGGUUCUAAAGGUAUUCCUGCUCAAGAUACUCUCAUGACAUUUCCUUUGGUAAAUUCUCAAGUGGUGCAUAUUCAAGGUAAUAUCUAUGAAAUACUUGGAAUAUGUAAGUCACUUCCAUCUCUCACAUCAUUAGAUCAUGUGGCUUUUUCUAUUAAGUCACCUUACAAUGAUCCACCAAGGCCUAAAAUGGUGGAUUAUUCGUUAACUAAGCCUCCUUGAAAAAUGAGGUGAUAUAGUCAAGCUAUUGAUUUUAAAGAAGCGCUUAUUGGGAGGCAACCCAAUGCUUGUUUAAGUUGGUGUUACUUUGGAGUGAUUUUAUGUUUAAAGUAUAAGUUUGAGUUAUUUUGUUAUUUUUCAUUUGUAGGUUUUGGAAAAAGAUGCAAAAGUGACCAAAUGAGGUGAAAAAGGCGAAGUUUGAUCAAAGAUCUCAAUACCUCAAAUUCAGUAAUUGUGAAUUUUGAUGCAUUAAAGAGGUUUAGAAUGCAUGUUUAGAUCAUUUUACAUGUGCGUGAAUGAUUUAUUUUGACAUAGAAAUGAUCUAGGGUGUAUUUUGAAUAAUUGAGGUCAAACUGAAAAUUGCAAAAAUUCUGCAAUAAGUGCAGAUUCAAUGGAUCCAAGGCCUCGGAUCCAUAUGGAUCCAAGGCCUCGGAUCCACUUCUGCAAUCAGAGAAAAACUUCGAGCUUCUUGAUCCGAGCUCGGAUCCAUAUGGAUCCGAGGCCUCGGAUCCACUUCUGCAAUCAGAAAAAAUUUGAGCUUCUUGAUCCGAGCUCACUUAUCAUGAUCCGACAUCGGAUCCUUUCAAAAACGACCUCGGAUCCUUUCCAAACGAAGCCUCGGACCACUUUUCUUCAUUCUUCCCUCUUUUUCCUCCUUCAACUCCACUUUUCUUCUUGUUGGUUGCAAGCUUUUAUUCUUAAGAAUUGUAUUUUUGUUUUUUUUUCAAGGUGCAUUAAUUGAAGUCUCCAUUCUUUCAAGUAAAGUUGGAAAUUCAUCACUUGGACAUGGAUUCGGAUUGCGCAAGUCAUAAGGGGAGUAUUUUCUUUUACUCUUUCUUUAUUUUCCUUUUCUCACAUUGAGGACAAUGUGAAGUUUAAGUGUGGGGGAGGAAAUAUGUGAACUUACAUUCUAAUGCUAUGUGAUGAUAUUUUGUGGAUUUAAAUGCUUAGAAAUAUUGGAAUUGUGUUUGAAUUAUUUGCCAUGUGGAUAAUUUGCCUGAAAUUGGGUUUGUUGGCAGGGAGUUUUCUUCCAUUUAUAUGGGGAAACUCCGUCAAAAUUUGUCUAACAUCUUGUCCAAUAUGUCACUAUGGCCCAAAAGUUCUUCAAAUUUUUGCAUUUUCAUUCAAAAAGGGCUAAUUUGUUCCAACUUUAAAUGUUUUUAUUCUUCCAAUUGUUGAAACUUUAUGUGUAUUUUGGAAGGUUUAGUCCUCAUUUAACUUGGAAAUAGUUAUUAUGCAAUUAGAAUUUUUACAUUUUAGAAAGUAUAUUUGGUAAAGUGAGGAAAAUUAUGCCUAUAAUUUUACAUGUUUAAUGAGAUUUCUUCUCUUUACUUAAUUUUGCAAGUAAGUGAUUGACAUAGUUGAUAAAAGGUUAUACUCCUCCUUUGAUUAGUCUUAUAUAUUUUCUAAGAGGGAAUAUCUAUUUAUUGUCCUUUAGUUUAAAAAAAAAAAGAAAAGAAAAGAAAGAAAAAAUUAUUCUACUCCAAUGAUUUUUGUACCGAGUAACCGGGGGUUGGCAUCUACAAAUGUCGAUUUUCGCGUAAAAAGGUACUUGAAUUAAGAAUAUGCAUUGCAACUUGAAUAAGUGAAAUGUUGAGUAACCGGGAAUCUUCACCUAAAAGUGUCGAUUUUCGCGUAAAAAGGCAUUCUCACUAAUUAAGUAAAAUUAGUAUGAAUAAAUCCCUCUUAGAUGUAAAAUUUUGAGAAAAGGAUGAUUAUAGGAGGAGGAAGGCUAUAAAUCGACUAUGUGGGUUGCUUAUUUGUGAAAUUAGGUUAGGGUAAGAGAUUAAGUUUAACUUGUUGAAUUUAGGGUAUAAUUAUCUUUUCUUUACUUGAUAUUAUGAGUAUUUAGUGUAAAUUGAAUAAUUAUAUAAUAAUUAUUUUCCAAGUCUUGAGGAAUUAAAUUGGACAAAGUGCAUAUAUUGUUUCACCUCUUGAAUCAUUGCAUUUGAUUAUGUGUGAAUUGCUUGAGGACAAGCAAUGAUUUAAGUGUGGGGGAGUUUGAUAAGUGACUAAUUUACGUAAUAAUUGUAUGACAUUUUAUAUUAUUUUUAGUCACUUUGGUUAUAUUAUUGGAAGAAUAUGAAUCAUUUUGGCUAUAAUUGGUGAAAAAUGCUUUUAAGUGAUUAAAUGAGGUUUUUAUCACUUUUUACUUGGAUUUUGUGUAUUUUGACAGUUUUGACACAUUUUCGUAUUUCGGCUAUAACUUGAGUUACAAUGAUCGGAUUGGGAUGAUUCUUGAACCCAUUUGAAGAUAAGAGAUAGAUCUACAACUUUGGUGAAGACAUCUAAAUCCAGUUUGAAGGUUUUCCAGGUCAAAAUGCCGAAUUACAAUAGCAAAUUUCUACUGGUUGAAACUGGAACAGGGCAAUGAGCAGGCAAGGGUAUUUCAAUCAUAUCUCAGCCUACACAGAUCCAAAUGAGGUGAUUCUUGAUGCAUUAGAACGAUAACUCAAACGGCUACAACUUUCGUGUUUUAGACAUGAGCUGGUUCAGCCUCUAACAUCAAGAAAAGAUUGGUUGAAAUUGGGCCAAAAACAGAGCAAGUGAUCCACACUCGGAUCCACUAUUCAUCCGAACCCUCGGUUGUUUCUGGGUUAGUGGAUCCGAGCUCGGAUCCGUAUGGAUCCGAGGUACUGUAGCAGCUCGGAUCACUG